AUGACCCUAGGUCAAGCGAGAUUACUCACUUAGUUUAAGUAUAUCAAUAAGUAGAGAAAUACAAAGAUUCUCUUAAUAAUGGUGAGCGAAUUGAGAAAAGCCCAACUUCAAAAUCAAAGUCUCUCUAUGUCCAAAUUGUAGUUUGAAAAAGCAUUCUUAUAGACAGAUCGAGCCCAAGUCCCAAAGAGGCAUUGGAGAGGAUGAAGUCCCAUUGUGCCUAGACCCUAUUGUACCAUGAAAUGCUAUCAAUUUGUUAGGUUGUUUGGGAAUAAAUUCCAUCCAAGGCUAAAUACGGGUGAGAAAUCGAUAGUGAACAAAUAUCACAAUGGAAAAAUUAAAAAGACUUUGAAAAGAGAGUGAAAGAAUGCUUGAAAUUAUCAAAAAGGACAUAAAUGAAGGCUAACGAUGUGUCCUAGUCGGAUGUGGAAUAACGAAAGUUGAUCUACCGAUUAGCUCAAGGCAUAGGUUGAUGCAAGUUGCAAUGGUAACCUUCGUAUCAGCCUACGUUCGGGCUUUCAAUAUGCCCAUGGAGACAUUGUCGCUAUGAUCAUGGAAUGCAACAUGCAUCAUCUUGUUAUGCCUCAAAACUUGCACGCUUUCGGCAUCAACCUACAGCUUAUUAUUUGACCCAUCUUAAAACAUGGAUCAAGGAGUUUGACAUGUAUACGAGUUAACAGGGCUAAAAAUCCAAUAAGGUACAAGGAUGCUGAUUGGCGAUAUCCUUCAAGGUGUACCAUUGAUGAACCUUGAUCUUCUAAGAAUUGAAAGUAAGCAUGCUUGUCGAGACCCAAAAUAUGGUGAACUAUGCUUAAGUGAGGUAAAGCCAGAGGAAACUCUAGUGGAAGCCCAUAGUGAUACUGACAUACAAAUCAUUCAUUUGACUUUAAUAUAAGGGCGAAAGACUAAUCAAACUAUCAGUAGUUAGUUCCUUUCAAAGAUUCUUUCAAGAUAGUUAGAGCCCUUAACGAGUUAUAUCGAGUAAAACCAAUGAUUAGUGGCAUCGGGGGCACAAUGCCUUCAACCUAUUCUCAAACUUUAAAUAGGUAGGAUGGCAUGACUACUUUGUUAAGCCUUGCCACAAAAUCAAUAGUUCAAAGUGGGUCACUUUUGGUAAGCAAAAUUGGUGAUAUAGGAUGAAUUGGAAAUCGGGUUAUGGUGCUAAACUGCACACUAACCUAAAACCUAGAAAAGGGUGUUGUUUGAUUAAGACAACAAGACGGUUGUCAUGGAAGUUGAAAUCCUUUAAGGAAUGUGUAACAAGUCACUUGUCAAAUCAACUAGUCCUGAAAAUGGAUAGCACUUAAGCAUGUGACCUAUACCCUACCAUUAGGGUAAAGACUAGGCCUUGAUGAGUAGGAAGGCAUAGUAGUUAUCGUAAAACUUGAAGUACAAGCCUGGACAGAAUGGUCAUUAGUACAAAUCUUGGUGGUUGUAGUAAAUAUUCAAAUAAAAACUUUGAAGGCCGAAGAAGGGAAAAGUUUCAUGUGAAUGGUGCUUACAUAUAGGUUAGUCGAUCCUAAGAAACGAGAGGAAGCCCAUCCAAUAGCGCAUCUAAUGCAAGCUUCGAAAAAGAAUAGGGAUAAAAUUUUUGAAUCGAGAGGUAAUGGCUGAAGGUAAUGUUAGAAAGUCUAGAGACAUCAAUGAAAGCUUUGAAAAGAGUUAUCUUUGUUAUUUAAUAGCCUACCUACCUUGGAAAUGGCUCAACUGGAGGUAAGGUCUAGCAGCUAGAAGAACACUGCACAUCAUGUGGUGUUUCGUGCACCCUCAAUGGCCCUUAAAAAUUUAGAAGAUCGAGUGCUAUUCACACCUGGUCAUACUCAUAAUUACAAUAGGUUUUCAAAGUGAAUAGCUUUUGGUCAAUGGAACAAUGUAGGUAAAAGAAGUCGACAAAAUGGAUCUGUAACCUCGAGAAAAAGACUGGCUCUAGGGGCUAGGCACGAGGUUCUUAUUCUUGAACCUGUUGCUAUCGAUGCAUAGCUUGAGCUCUUCUUGAAGUGAGAGUGAGUCAUCACAUGCCGAUCAAGGGAUGGACUAGGAACGGUUCCAUCGAGGGCCUUUCCCAGAUGAUGAACAGUCGACUUAAAAUUGGUAUGGACAAGGGGAAUCUGACUAUUUAAUUAAAACAAAGUAUUGCAAUGGUCCCUAUGCAUGCUCAUGUAUUAUGAUUCCUACCAGUGCUUUGAAUGUCAAAGUGAAAAAAAUUCAACCAAGUGCAGGUAAAUAGCAAGAGUAACUAUGACUCUCUUAGGGUAGCUAAAUGCCUCAUCAUCUAAUCAAUGAUGCACAUGAAUGGAUUAACGAGAUUUUCACUAUCCAUGUCUACUAUCUGGCAAAACCACAGCCAAGGGAAUGGACUUGGCAGAAUCAGCAGGGAAAGAAAACCUUGUUGAGCUUAACUUUAGUCCUACUUUGUGAAAUGACUUAAGAGGUGUAGGAUAAGUGAGAACCCUUGGGUGAAAUUCAAAUACCACUACUUUUAACGUUAUUUUACUUAUUCCAUGAAUUGGAGGUGGGGCACGACCCUUUUUUUUAGACCCAAGAUUAAUCUCGAUCAAUUGAUAUAGGUGAAAGAUAUUGUUAGGUAGGGAGUUUUGCUAUGGCAGCACAUCUAUUAAAAGAUAACAUAGGUGUCCUAAGACGAGCUAAAUGAGAACAAAAAAUUUGUAUGAAACAAAAGGUAAAAGCUUAUUUGAUUCUGAUUUUUAGUAUGAAUAUGAAUCGUGAAAGCAUGGCCUAUCGAUCUUUUAGACCUUCAAAAUUUGAAGCUAGACGUGUCAGAAAAAUCACAAGGAUAAUUUCUUGUGGCAGCCAAGCAUUUAUAGCAACAUUACUUUUUAAUCCUUCGAUGUCGCUCUCUUAUCAUUAUGAAGUAGAAUUCACCAAUUGUUGGAUUGUUCACCCACCAAUAAGGAACAUGAGUUGGGUUUAGACUAUCGUGAGAUAUGUUAGUUUUACCUUACUGAUGGCAAUUUUGUAAUAGUGAUUCAACCUAGUACGAGAGAAACCAUUGAUUCAUACAAUUGGUCAUCACACUUAGUUGAAAAGCCAGUGGCAUGAAGCUACCAUGUGUCAAAUUAUGACUAAAUGCCUUUAAGUCAGUAUCUGGGUUAAAAAUGAUGCAUGUGCCCGUUGCCUAAUUUUCUACCCAUAAUAAAGGCCAUGGCCCCCAAGGGCAAAUGUCGUAGGUGCAACCUUCACGGUAAACAAGCUAUGCAAGCCUCUUUGAAGCUCAAUUCUCACUAAA
rnacentral:rRNA from 1 species